GCAGCAACGCCGCGUGGGUGAUGACGGUCUUCGGAUUGUAAAACCCUGUCUUCAGGGACGAUAAUGACGGUACCUGAGGAGGAAGCCACGGCUAACUACGUGCCAGCAGCCGCGGUAAUACGUAGGUGGCAAGCGUUGUCCGGAUUUACUGGGCGUAAAGGGUGCGUAGGCGGAUAAUUAAGUCAGAUGUGAAAUCCCGGGGCUCAACCUUGGGGCUGCAUUUGAUACUGGUUGUCUAGAGUGCAGGAGAGGAGAGUGGAAUUCCUAGUGUAGCGGUGAAAUGCGUAGAUAUUAGGAAGAACACCAGUGGCGAAGGCGACUCUCUGGACUGUAACUGACGCUGAGGCACGAAAGCGUGGGGAGCGAACAGGAUUAGAUACCCUGGUAGUCCACGCCGUAAACGAUGAGCACUAGGUGUCGGGGGUCGAACCUCGGUGCCGCAGUUAACAC
rnacentral:rRNA from 1 species